GAUCCUCCAAGUGGCCUGAAUCCUGGAAAUUGUUGUCGGUAUGAUAGUUCUUUAAGCUUGUUGACAAGGAAAUUUAUCAACUUAAUCCAGGAAGCCAAGGAUGGGACGCUUGAUCUGAACUAUACUGCGGAAGUAUUGGAGGUCCAAAAGAGGAGGAUAUAUGACAUCACAAAUGUGCUUGAAGGAAUUGGAUUAAUAGAGAAAACUUCAAAGAACCAUAUUCGCUGGAAGGGAGCUGACAAUUUGGGGCCAAAGGAGCUUGAUAAUCAAGUUGCUUUACUAAAGG